GUGCUCUCUUCGGCAGCACAAAUACUAAAAUUGGAACAAUGCAGAGAAGAUUAGCAUGGCCCCUGUGCAAGGAUGACACGCAAAUUCGUGAAGCAUUCCAUAUUUAA
rnacentral:snRNA from 1 species